rnacentral:rRNA from 1 species
AACCAGGAGAUAGCUCGUUCUCUCCGAAAUGCAUCUAGGUGCAGCCUUGAGUGUUCAAUUAUGGGGGUAGAGCACUGAAUGAUCUAGGGGGCAUAUUGCUUACUGAAAUCAAUCAAACUCCGAAUACCAUAAUUUAUAGCUCAGGAGUGAGACUAUGGGAGUUAACUUCCAUUGUCAAAAGGGAAACAACCCAGACCACCAGCUAAGGUCCCUAAUUAUAACUAAGUGGGAAAGGAGGUGGAGAUUCACAAACAACUAGGAGGUUGGCUUAGAAGCAGCCAUACCUUUAAAGAGUGCGUAAUAGCUCACUAGUCGAGAGUCUCUGCGCCGACAAUGUAACGGGGCUAAGUUAUAAACCGAAGCUGUGGAAUCCUUUUGGAUUGGUAGGAGAGCGUUCUGUAGGCCGUUGAAGAAGAAGGGUAACCAACUUUGGAGGUAUCAGAAGUGAGAAUGCAGGAAUAAGUAGCGAGAAAGGGGGCGAGAAUCCCCCUCGCCGGAAGACCAAGGUUUUCAGGGUAAAGCUUGUCUUCCCUGAGUAAGCCGGGACCUAAGCCCAGGCUAUAAUGCGUAGGCGAAUGGAAAACAGAUUAAUAUUUCUGUGCCAGUCAUGUAUUGUGAUGGAGGGACGCAGAAGGGUAUGCGCGCGGACGAACGGAAGUGUCCGUAGAAGUAUGUAGGGUGACUUAGUAGGUAAAUCCAUUAAGUUAUAUCUGAGGUAUGAUAUACAGUCGUAAGAUGAAUGCGCAAAUCCCACGCUGCCAAGAAAAGCUUCUAACGUUAAUAUAUGACUGCCCGUACUGUAAACCGACACAGGUGGUCAGGAUGAGAAAUCUAAGGCGGACAGGCUAACUCUCGUUAAGGAACUCUGCAAAAUAACCUCGUAACUUCGGGAGAAGAGGAGCCCUUGGGUGUUAGUAUCCAUGCGAUACAAAGCGCUCGAGGGUCGCAGUGAAGAGGCUCAAGCAACUGUUUAACAAAAACACAGGUCUAUGCUAAGCUGAAAGGCGACGUAUAUGGGCUGACACCUGCCCAGUGCCGGAAGGUUAAGAGGAGGAUUGAGAGAUUCGAAUUGAAGCCCCGGUGAACGGCGGCCGUAACUAUAACGGUCCUAAGGUAGCGAAAUUCCUUGUCGGGUAAG